rnacentral:rRNA from 1 species
GACGAACGCUGGCGGCGUGCUUAACACAUGCAAGUCGAACGGAAAGUCCCAGCUUGCUGGGUGCUCGAGUGGCGAACGGGUGAGUAACACGUGGGUGAUCUGCCCCUCACUUCGGGAUAAGCUUGGGCAACUGGGUCUAAUACCGGAUAGGACAAUCGUUUAGUGUCGGUUGUGGAAAGUUUUUUCGGUUAGGGAUGAGCCCGCGGCCUAUCAGCUUGUUGGUGGGGUAAUGGCCUACCAAGGCGUCGACGGGUAGCCGGCCUGAGAGGGUGGACGGCCACAUUGGGACUGAGAUACGGCCCAGACUCCUACGGGAGGCAGCAGUGGGGAAUAUUGCACAAUGGGCGCAAGCCUGAUGCAGCGACGGCGCGUGGGGGAUGACGGCCUUCGGGUUGUAAACCUCUUUCGACAGGGAAGAAGCUUUGGUGACGGUACCUGAAUAAGAAGCACCGGCUAACUACGUG